AGUUUGAUUAUGGCUCAGAUUGAACGCUGGCGGGAUGCUUUACACAUGCAAGUCAGACGGCAGCACGGACUUCGGUCUGGUGGCGAGUGGCGAACGGGUGAGUAAUGUAUCGGAACGUGCCUAGUAGCGGGGGAUAACUACGCGAAAGCGUAGCUAAUACCGCAUACGCCCUUCGGGGGAAAGCGGGGACCUUCCGGGCCUCGCACUAUUAGAGCGGCCGAUAUCGGAUUAGCUAGUUGGUGGGGUAACGGCUCACCAAGGCGACGAUCCGUAGCUGGUUUGAGAGGACGACCAACCACACUGGGACUGAGACGGCCCAGACUCCUACGAGGCAGCAGUGGGGAAUUUUGGACAAUGGGGAAACCCUGAUCCAGCCAUCCCGCGUGUGCGAUGAAGGCCUUCGGGUUGUAAAGCACUUUUGGCAGGAAAGAAACGGCACGGGAUAAUACCCCGUGCAACUGACGGUACCUGCAGAAUAAGCACCGGCUAACUACGUGCCAGCAACCGCGGUAAUACGUAGGGUGCAAGCGUUAAUCGGAAUUACUGGGCGUAAAGCGUGCGCAGGCGGUUCGGAAAGAAAGAUGUGAAAUCCCAGAGCUUAACUUUGGAACUGCAUUUUUUAACUACCGAGCUAGAGUGUGUCAGAGGGAGGUGGAAUU
rnacentral:misc_RNA from 1 species